UACGUAGGGCGCAAGCGUUGUCCGGAAUUAUUGGGCGUAAAGAGCUCGUAGGCGGCCUGUCGCGUCUGCUGUGAAAUCCCGGGGCUCAACCCCGGGCCUGCAGUGGAUACGGGCUGGCUGGAGGCAGGCAGGGGAGAACGGAAUUCCUGGUGUAGCGGUGGAAUGCGCAGAUAUCGGGAGGAACACCGGUGGCGAAGGCGGUUCUCUGGGCCUGUACUGACGCUGAGGAGCGAAAGCGUGGGGAGCGAACAGG
rnacentral:rRNA from 1 species